rnacentral:rRNA from 1 species
AGAACGAACGCUGGCGGCAUGCCUAAUACAUGCAAGUCGAACGAUCACUUCGGUGUUAGUGGCGCACGGGUGCGUAACGCGUGGGAAUCUGCCCUUGGGUUCGGAAUAACAGUUGGAAACGACUGCUAAUACCGGAUGAUAUCGAAAGAUCAAAGAUUUAUCGCCCAGGGAUGAGCCCGCGUAGGAUUAGCUAGUUGGUGAGGUAAAGGCUCACCAAGGCGACGAUCCUUAGCUGGUCUGAGAGGAUGAUCAGCCACACUGGGACUGAGACACGGCCCAGACUCCUACGGGAGGCAGCAGUAGGGAAUAUUGGACAAUGGGCGCAAGCCUGAUCCAGCAAUGACCGCGUGAGUGAUGAAGGCCGUUAGGGUGUAAAGCUCUUUACCGAGAUGAUAA